rnacentral:lncRNA from 1 species
UUUCAUUAAACUUCUCAUCUCUUCUUCCCACCCUCCACAGCUAGGAGUCAUUGCAGGACUUGACUCUGGAGCUGAACAUUGACCAAAGCUCCUGGUAGGCUCUUUUUAGCUCUGGCAAAACAUUAUCCUCUCCCUCUCCCACAUGAUGUCUCAGAUGUGCCUGGAAAGAAUCUUGUGACUGGAGUUACAGAAUUUGGAUUCUGAUCCUUGUUUGUUCUCAAAAUCUCUUUACCUUACCAAGAAAUUCUAGGAGUUAGAAGAUUUGUAUUCUUGCUCUGUCCCAACCAGACAUCCCAUGUUCAAAUGGGAAAUUCUACACAAGACUUCAAUUUCCCUAUAUAGCUAUCACAACACAGAAGUGUGUGCCAGAUACCACCAAAAUCCUGGGCUUGGAUUUGAAUGCAAUUGUGGGCAUGACAUGCGAGUAUUUAUUUAUUUAUUAAGGUCAUUGGGGAGUAAGUAAAUACAUUU